GAGGGUGUAGCUCCGUGGUAGAGCAUGGGCUUAGCAGGCGUGAGGUCCUGGGUUCAAUCCCCAGUACUGCCA
rnacentral:tRNA from 1 species